GAUGAAGAACGUAGCGAAAUGCGAUAAGUAAUGUGAAUUGCAGAAUUCAGUGAAUCAUCGAAUCUUUGAACGCGCAUUGCGACCCCUGGUAUUCCGGGGGGCAUGCCUGUUCGAGCGUCAUUUCACCACUCAAGCCUCGCUUGGUAUUGGGCAACGCGGUCCGCCGCGUGCCUCAAAUCGACCGGCUGGGUCUUCUGUCCCCUAAGCGUUGUGGAAACUAUUCGCUAAAGGGUGUUCGGGAGGCUACGCCGUAAAACAACCCCAUUUCUAAGGUUGACCUCGGAUCAGGUAGGGAUACCCGCUGAACUUAAGCAUAUCAAUAAGCGGAGGA
rnacentral:misc_RNA from 1 species